rnacentral:rRNA from 1 species
AUUGAACGCUGGCGGCAGGCCUAACACAUGCAAGUCGAACGGUAGCACAGAGAGCUUGCUCUCGGGUGACGAGUGGCGGACGGGUGAGUAACGUCUGGGAAACUGCCCGAUGGAGGGGGGUAACUACUGGAAACGGUAGCUAAUACCGCAUAACGUCGCAAGACCAAAGUGGGGGGCCUUCGGGCCUCACACCAUCGGAUGUGCCCAGAUGGGAUUAGCUAGUAGGUGGGGUAAUGGCUCACCUAGGCGACGAUCCCUAGCUGGUCUGAGAGGAUGACCAGCCACACUGGAACUGAGACACGGUCCAGACUCCUACGGGAGGCAGCAGUGGGGAAUAUUGCACAAUGGGCGCAAGCCUGAUGCGGCCAUGCCGCGUGUAUGAAGAAGGCCUUCGGGUUGUAAAGUACUUUCAGCGGGGAGGAAGGCGGUGGAGUUAAUAACUUCACCGAUUGACGUUACCCGCAGAAGAAGCACCGGCUAACUCCGUGCCAGCCGCCGCAGUAA